rnacentral:rRNA from 1 species
AACGAACGCUGGCGGCAUGCCUAACGCAUGCAAGUCGAACGAGAUCUUCGGGUCUAGUGGCGCACGGGUGCGUAACGCGUGGGAAUCUGCCCUUUGGUUCGGAAUAACAGCUGGAAACGACUGCUAAUACCGGAUGAUGACGAAAGUCCAAAGAUUUAUCGCCAGAGGAUGAGCCCGCGUAGGAUUAGCUAGUUGGUGUGGUAAAGGCGCACCAAGGCGACGAUCCUUAGCUGGUCUGAGAGGAUGAUCAGCCACACUGGGACUGAGACACGGCCCAGACUCCUACGGGAGGCGGCAGUGGGGAAUAUUGGACAAUGGGCGAAAGCCUGAUCCAGCAAUGCCGCGUGAGUGAUGAAGGCCUUAGGGUUGUAAAGCUCUUUUACCCGGGAUGAUAAUGACAGUACCGGGAGAAUAAGCUCCGGCUAACUCCGUGCCAGCCGCCGCGGUAA